GUUCAAUUCAUCAAUAACGCAUGACACAUCUACUACUCGGUGAUUUAUUUGCCACAUUCUUUUGUUUCUGCAUUCUUCAAUUCAUCCCUGGGACGCAAGUUUGAGCAGCCGCUGUGAUUUCUCCACCAUCGGUCUCUCUAACCUACAAUUUUGCCCACGUGUGUUUCCCUCUGUCGUGGUUGUUGAUGCUGCGGAGAGCGAACUGAUAUUAUCUGACCUCUAUCUUAGUUCCUAACCAAUCACCACAAUCGCAUGUUGCUUCUUCUUCCUUCUUUCCAUUUCUAUUUUGAUCUUUCGAAUUUCAUAAUUCACAUCCAUUUGUUCUUUGCAUUUCAAGCGGCGAUGACCUUCGGAAGCGUUAUCUUCUUCGACACCGGUAUGAACCCUUAGUUCAAUGCCUUAUUUCUGCAUUUUGAUUUGCAUGUCGCUGAUUUUGUUUCGCAGUGACUGAUGGACAGGAAAUGGAGUAAUGAGGGUUUUGUGGUUCUUGAACAAUGGGGUUUGAUUAUUUGUUGUUCAAGUGAUGAAGCGAAGAAGUGACAGUGGCAGGUUUAGUGGUUAUAAGGGUAUUGCAGGGAGGGGAAAUGAAAGGAAGGGAGUUUGACAAUCCCACCUCAUUCAACUCUUCAUCUUCUUUCUAUUCAAGCUCAUGGUUUUCAAUUCCUACUGCAAUUAUUUUUUACCAUCAUUGUUGCAAAUUUGGGUUUUCAGAUGAUAAAUACUCCUGCUUAAGAUUCUUAUUUUAGAACAGUUGUUGUGUUAUUUCUGAAGCCAUAAAUCCUAGCAAAUAUGCUAAUUACCUUCCCCUUCAUUAGUGGUGAAGCUACUGUAGUUAAUUAAGAUUUAUGGGUUGGUUCUUCUGCAAAAUGUAGAGCUCAAUUCUGGGUUGGUUAUUCUGCAAAAUGUAGAGCUCAAUUCUGGGUUGGUUAUUCAGCGAAAUGUGGAACUCAAUUGGUGCAUUGCACAUUUUUUUCCCUUCUCUUACCAGUGAGAUAAUAUGCACUAUCUUCUAAAGUUUUAAAUUUUUUUUUUCUCCAGGUCUUCUACUUCUCCGGAUGUGACUCUUAUGGUAUUUUCCGGAAGGAGACCUCUACUGCCAUCGAUUUAACUGAUUUCAUGUUUAGAGAAGGUACAAAUAGAUGGCAUAUGGAGCUGCAGGUAUUAACCAGUUUAUUGUGGAGUCCCAAAGACUUUGCCACAAAGCAACAUAGUCUGCUUGAGGAGGUUACUCUGCUUUGGAUCCCAUUGAAUCUCAGAGAGUUGUUGAUCUCCUGAAUUCAGAGUUGUCUCCUUUCUCAAGUUGAAACCCAAGGAAUUAUGGAAACCAGUGGCUGUUGACACUUCUUGGUAUGAGGUUCUGGAUAGCUUUUGGCAAUUCAGGAGCAGGUGGUAUGAUUUCCUUCACUGUGGGGUCAAAGGGAUUGUUGAGGGCGUUAUUGUUGGCGAGCUUGAGGUAACUUCAGGAAUAUGGCCCAUAUAACAGAACAUACUUCAAUGGAGACAGUUUGUGCAUCUAAAGAGAAAGAUCAAAAUUCACUCAGAUCCAUUACUCAGAUGCAUAAAAAUUGUAGCUUUCAUAAUUUCUCAUAUAGUACUCCCUUUCAUUUGGCACACAUGUACAACUCAAUCCAUAAAUGAGAAAGUCUUAUGUAAUUUUUGGUAUGUCAAUUUUGUUUAAUACAUAAGAAGUAUGUACUCCGUGUUUGGAACUUUCAUAGGUAAAUUUUUGGGGUUGGCUGUUAUUUUGAUUUUGGAUUUUUAAAUUGGCAUUGUCCUAUAGACAUUAAAUUUUUAGUCCAAAAUAAACUCUUUACCCUUUUGGUUGUC